CCUACGGGUGGCAGCAGUGAGGAAUAUUGGUCAAUGGGCGCGAGCCUGAACCAGCCAAGUCGCGUGAGGGAAGACGGUCCUAUGGAUUGUAAACCUCUUUUGUCGGGGAGCAAAAGACGCCACGCGUGGCGUUCCGAGAGUACCCGAAGAAAAAGCAUCGGCUAACUCCGUGCCAGCAGCCGCGGUAAUACGGAGGAUGCGAGCGUUAUCCGGAUUUAUUGGGUUUAAAGGGUGCGCAGGCGGAAGAGCAAGUCAGCGGUAAAAUUGAGAGGCUCAACCUCUUCGAGCCGUUGAAACUGGUUUUCUUGAGUGUGUGAGCAGUCUGCGGACUGCGUUGUGUAGCGGUGCAAUGCAUCGUUCUCACGCAGAACUCCGAUUGCGAAGGCAGCCUACCGGCGCUCACCUGACGCUCAUGCACGAACGUGUGGGUAUCGCACAGGCUUAGAUACCCCUGUAGUC
rnacentral:rRNA from 1 species